rnacentral:rRNA from 1 species
GAUUUACUUCGGUAAUGACGUUGGGAAAGCGAGCGGCGGAUGGGUGAGUAACACGUGGGGAACCUGCCCCUAAGUCUGGGAUACCAUUUGGAAACAGGUGCUAAUACCGGAUAAUAAAGCAGAUCGCAUGAUCAGCUUUUGAAAGGCGGCGUAAGCUGUCGCUAAGGGAUGGCCCCGCGGUGCAUUAGCUAGUUGGUAAGGUAACGGCUUACCAAGGCGACGAUGCAUAGCGGAGUUGAGAGACUGAUCGGCCACAUUGGGACUGAGACACGGCCCAAACUCCUACGGGAGGCAGCAGUAGGGAAUCUUCCACAAUGGACGCAAGUCUGAUGGAGCAACGCCGCGUGAGUGAAGAAGGUUUUCGGAUCGUAAAGCUCUGUUGUUGGUGAAGAAGGAUAGAGGUAGUAACUGGCCUUUAUUUGACGGUAAUCAACCAGAAAGUCACGGCUAACUACGUGCCAGCAGCCGCGGUAAUACGUAGGUGGCAAGCGUUGUCCGGAUUUAUUGGGCGUAAAGCGAGCGCAGGCGGAAAAAUAAGUCUAAUGUGAAAGCCCUCGGCUUAACCGAGGAACUGCAUCGGAAACUGUUUUUCUUGAGUGCAGAAGAGGAGAGUGGAACUCCAUGUGUAGCGGUGGAAUGCGUAGAUAUAUGGAAGAACACCAGUGGCGAAGGCGGCUCUCUGGUCUGCAACUGACGCUGAGGCUCGAAAGCAUGGGUAGCGAACAGGAUUAGAUACCCUGGUAGUCCAUGCCGUANACGAUGAGUGCUAAGUGUUGGGAGGUUUCCGCCUCUCAGUGCUGCAGCUAACGCAUUAAGCACUCC